rnacentral:rRNA from 1 species
AAAUUGAAGAGUUUGAUCAUGGCUCAGAUUGAACGCUGGCGGCAGGCCUAACACAUGCAAGUCGAGCGGUAACACAGAGAGCUUGCUCUCGGGUGACGAGCGGCGGACGGGUGAGUAAUGUCUGGGAAACUGCCUGAUGGAGGGGGAUAACUACUGGAAACGGUAGCUAAUACCGCAUAACGUCGCAAGACCAAAGAGGGGGACCUUCGGGCCUCUUGCCAUCAGAUGUGCCCAGAUGGGAUUAGCUAGUAGGUGGGGUAACGGCUCACCUAGGCGACGAUCCCUAGCUGGUCUGAGAGGAUGACCAGCCACACUGGAACUGAGACACGGUCCAGACUCCUACGGGAGGCAGCAGUGGGGAAUAUUGCACAAUGGGCGCAAGCCUGAUGCAGCCAUGCCGCGUGUAUGAAGAAGGCCUUCGGGUUGUAAAGUACUUUCAGCGGGGAGGAAGGUGUUGAGGUUAAUAACCUCAGCAAUUGACGUUACCCGCAGAAGAAGCACCGGCUAACUCCGUGCCAGCAGCCGCGGUAAUACGGAGGGUGCAAGCGUUAAUCGGAAUUACUGGGCGUAAAGCGCACGCAGGCGGUCUGUCAAGUCGGAUGUGAAAUCCCCGGGCUCAACCUGGGAACUGCAUUCGAAACUGGCAGGCUAGAGUCUUGUAGAGGGGGGUAGAAUUCCAGGUGUAGCGGUGAAAUGCGUAGAGAUCUGGAGGAAUACCGGUGGCGAAGGCGGCCCCCUGGACAAAGACUGACGCUCAGGUGCGAAAGCGUGGGGAGCAAACAGGAUUAGAUACCCUGGUAGUCCACGCCGUAAACGAUGUCGACUUGGAGGUUGUGCCCUUGAGGCGUGGCUUCCGGAGCUAACGCGUUAAGUCGACCGCCUGGGGAGUACGGCCGCAAGGUUAAAACUCAAAUGAAUUGACGGGGGCCCGCACAAGCGGUGGAGCAUGUGGUUUAAUUCGAUGCAACGCGAAGAACCUUACCUACUCUUGACAUCCAGAGAACUUUCCAGAGAUGGAUUGGUGCCUUCGGGAACUCUGAGACAGGUGCUGCAUGGCUGUCGUCAGCUCGUGUUGUGAAAUGUUGGGUUAAGUCCCGCAACGAGCGCAACCCUUAUCCUUUGUUGCCAGCGGUCCGGCCGGGAACUCAAAGGAGACUGCCAGUGAUAAACUGGAGGAAGGUGGGGAUGACGUCAAGUCAUCAUGGCCCUUACGAGUAGGGCUACACACGUGCUACAAUGGCGCAUACAAAGAGAAGCGACCUCGCGAGAGCAAGCGGACCUCAUAAAGUGCGUCGUAGUCCGGAUUGGAGUCUGCAACUCGACUCCAUGAAGUCGGAAUCGCUAGUAAUCGUAGAUCAGAAUGCUACGGUGAAUACGUUCCCGGGCCUUGUACACACCGCCCGUCACACCAUGGGAGUGGGUUGCAAAAGAAGUAGGUAGCUUAACCUUCGGGAGGGCGCUUACCACUUUGUGAUUCAUGACUGGGGUGAAGUCGUAACAAGGUAACCGUAGGGGAACCUGCGGUUGGAUCACCUCCUUACCUUAAAGAA